rnacentral:tRNA from 1 species
GGGAGGGUAGUCUAGCUUGGUAUGAUACUUGGCUGGGGGCCAAGUGGUCGGGGGUUCAAUUCCCCCCUCUCCCA